AUUGAACGCUGGCGGCAGGCCUAACACAUGCAAGUCGAGCGGAUGAGGGAAGCUUGCUUCCCGAUUUAGCGGCGGACGGGUGAGUAAUGCCUAGGAAUCUGCCUAUUAGUGGGGGAUAACGUUCCGAAAGGAACGCUAAUACCGCAUACGUCCUACGGGAGAAAGUGGGGGAUCUUCGGACCUCACGCUAAUAGAUGAGCCUAGGUCGGAUUAGCUAGCUGGUGGGGUAACGGCUCACCAAGGCGACGAUCCGUAGCUGGACUGAGAGGAUGAUCAGCCACACUGGAACUGAGACACGGUCCAGACUCCUACGGGAGGCAGCAGUGGGGAAUAUUGGACAAUGGGCGAAAGCCUGAUCCAGCCAUGCCGCGUGUGUGAAGAAGGUCUUCGGAUUGUAAAGCACUUUAAGUUGGGAGGAAGGGUUGUAAGCUAAUAUCUUGCAGCUUUGACGUUACCAACAGAAUAAGCACCGGCUAACUCUGUGCCAGCAGCCGCCGUAAUAC
rnacentral:rRNA from 1 species